UUAGAGUUUGAUCCUGGCUCAGAUUGAACGCUGGCGGCAGGCCUAACACAUGCAAGUCGAGCGGAUGAGGGUAGCUUGCUAUCUGAUUCAGCGGCGGACGGGUGAGUAAUGCCUAGGAAUCUGCCUGGUAGUGGGGGACAACGUUUCGAAAGGAACGCUAAUACCGCAUACGUCCUACGGGAGAAAGUGGGGGAUCUUCGGACCUCACGCUAUCAGAUGAGCCUAGGUACGAUUAGCUAGUUGGUGAGGUAAAGGCUCACCAAGGCGACGAUCGUUAACUGGUCUGAGAGGAUGAUCAGUCACACUGGUAUUGAGACACGGUCCAGACUCUUACGGGAGGCAGCAGUGGCGAAUUUUGGACAAUGGGAGAAAGCCUGAUCCAGCCAUGCCGCGUGUGUGAAGAAGGUAUUCGGAUUGUAAAGCACUUUAAGUUGGGAGGAAGGGCAGUAUGUUAAUACCUUGCUGUUUUGACGUUACCAACAGAAUAAGCACCGGCUAAAUUUGUGCCAGCAGCCGCGGUAAUUCGAAGGGUGCAAGCGUUAAUUGGAAUUCCUGGGGGUAAAGCGCGGGUAGGUGGUUUUGUAAGUUGGAGGUGAAAUCCCCGGGGUUAACCUGGGAACUGCCUUCAAAUCUGCAUGGUUAGAGUAUGGUAGAGGGUGGUGGAAUUUCCUGUGUAGCGGUGAAAUGUGUAGAUAUAUGAAGGAACCCCCGUGGGGAAGGCGGCCUCCUGGACUGAUUCUGACAGUGAGGUCAGAAAGCGUGGGGAGCAAA
rnacentral:rRNA from 1 species